CGCGCACAUCCCACUACGGUCGAUCAAAAAUGCGACAUCCCAGGAUAUGUCGCCGACCCAUUCAUUUCUUUACGCAUGCGGAAGCGAAACAAAUCCCCUGACAACAUUUAACUUGGGAUAGAAAAGCAGGCAAUCAAUCACAAUACCAAACACUCAUUUACUAACACAAAGGGUUUAAAUACAACACUGGACUUUCUACAAAAUAGACCAGCUCGACAAAAGGGGGACUAUCCUACAACCAACUAGCAAGACACGCUCUCCAACCCUUAUGACUUCACCUCUGCAACUCCUCAAGGCCAAUCAAAGCUAUCUGGCCGCUCCGUCCACCAGGGACCUGAAAUUUUAAUCCCACAACCGGGAUGAGACGAUGUCUCAGCAAGUUCAACCCCCUAAACCCCUAUUAGAAAGAAAAUACGCCCCAGGUAGCCUAGCCACAUCACACAGAAGACUUACCUCGCCUCAGCCUUCAUCUGCAGGUUAGCACAAUUUAUAUAAUCCAACCACGUACAAUUAUGAUAACCAAACAACCAUGGCACAAUCACAUUAUCAAACCAAUUCAACCACUUGGAUCGUCUCAGCGAUCAAUCGACUCGGCCGAUUACAUGUCAUUCUAGCAAAUCAAUCAUUGCUCUCAACUACGGCCCUACUCGGCAAAUUUAAAUCAGUGGCAUCACGGCCCCACUCGGCGCGACCUUUAACAGGUGGCAAUUCACGGCCCC
rnacentral:lncRNA from 1 species